UGCUUUCCCGUUAGUGUCAGCGGAGGGAUCAGACCGGAGUCCCAGCUGCUAACCCAGGCCCAGGGCCCAGGCCGGCUGAGCGCUCUGUGCUGGACGGAGAUGGCCUUGGUGCUGGUCGCUGCCUUCUGCCUUCUGAGCGGUGCCUACGCCCAGCAGUGGGGUGUGACACUCGCACCAGAGCCCCUGGCUGGAUGGGCCGGCUCCUGCGUGACCAUCCCCUGCUCCUUCACCUACCCCGCAGGGU